AAGAGGCAAGACACACGUCAAAUGCAGUGGGGCACAGCCAGAGGUGAAAGCCUUUCAGCUGCAUUCAGCAACAGCAUCGUCCUGAACUGGAUGCUGGAGCUGGCCUGGGUGCUUGGGCCAUGACUCAGACCUGGACUCCAGCACCUCUGCUCUCCUCGUCCAUUGUCACUGUGAAGUGGGGCUGAUGUAAAAAGAGUUGAUUUCUACCCUACCAAGUCACAGAACGGUUGGACUGGAAAGGAGUCGGGGGUCAUGUGGUUCAACCCCUCAUUUUACAGGAAAUGAAUGAAAGGCUGCGAGGGAAGGUGCUAAGGAAGUGGGAGAGGAACUAUCAUUCAUGGACGCCUGCUUGAUAGUGGGCACUUUGCUACCUAAUAAAUUCACAGAAGAAUCCGGAAAGUUCCAAGGAUUAGGACAUAGAUAUCUUCAGGGGGCCAUUAUUCUGCAUAGCCCAGAGCACGCUGACAUCUAGGAAAGAGUCUUCCAGGCAGAGGAACAGCUAGAGCAGAGGCCCAGAGGUGGACGAGCCUGGAGCUGGGAGAAAGCUAACCCUUGCCAAGGACACACUUGACCUUGUCUUCAAAGGUAGCCCUUAAAGGAGCAGUAUAUUUUCUCCAUCCAACAAAAGUGAGAUGAACAAUUCUGCAGUUUUCUUCACAGGCUCAUAAAGCAGAAGCGCUUCUCUGAUAAUCUCUGCUAGAGUAUCCUUUGAGCUUCUUUUGUCCGGGAGCCUGGCUGAAUUUCUCCCAGUAUGUCAGAAUUUGCUUCCCAGGGGCCCGCUUCGUGGAUGAUGGAGUGGAAGGUAAUUCCCGAGGGCUCAGAGGUCUGCGUGCUAUGGGGUAGAGCCUCAGAUCAACUUGUAAACCCUAAAGAAAUUUUCCCACCUAGUGUUCUACAACAGUCCCCUCCACCUUUCAAAACCCUAGGCACACACACAAAUGUGUUCUCAGCCAGCCAAAGUCGCCCUCUCUAGUGAUGACAACGCCAGAAAAAUAGCUCUUCUAUCAUAUUG
rnacentral:lncRNA from 1 species